rnacentral:lncRNA from 1 species
CUUGGGUAGGUGGCGUCAAUCAUUUCCCACACAGUUUGUCUACAGAGAAGAUGCCCAAAUAGCUGGAAAAAAAACUCCACAAAACCAGCAAAGAUCAGUUCCCCAUCUCACCUUUUUAGACAACCAGUCCUCACCUUGUGGUUGGCCCUCCCAACCCUCGUUUCCAUUACCUAAAAUCCCAAGUCCAUUAAAAUCUAUCUCAUUAAUCACUUUCUCUGCUGUUGCCUGAGGAGGUCUGGAGAGAUUUACUGUCUUUGUCACAUGCUGGAGCUCCUCUUUCCUCAGCUUAUCUCUGACACCAACACAGGAACCGACCACCACUUCCCUGCUUCCCUCAUGGCUUUCCUGGCUGCUGUGACCACAUGGCAGUGUGCUGGGACAUGCUGUAGGAGUUCUGUCACUGCUGUCAGCUGUAAGCCCUGCAGGAUGUUGCCUUCACCAGCGAGGCUGGAGAUGCUGAUGGGAGUGAGAAUUCAGGCUUCACAGAGGCUUCUCCUGUGGUUGUGUUGAGGGGAGCCCCUCGCCUGGCUCUGCUGCGUUGGAGCAGUGACACUGCUGGCCUGGCACCUGCCUGCCUGCUGGUGAUCACCUGCUGGAACUGCCUUACUGCAGAGGAGCGUGAAGGACCUGCUG